rnacentral:lncRNA from 1 species
GGGGAAUUUUGGGGGGGAUUUUCGGGGCAUUUGGGGUCGGAUUUGUGCCAUUUUUCGUCCAAUUUUUCCAUUUUGGGUCGGAUUUGUGCCAUUUUGGGUCGGAUUUCUGCCAUUUUUGGGUCCGAUUUGGGGCAUUCUGGGUCCGAUUUUUCCAUUUUGGGUUGGAUUUGAGCCAUUUUGGGUCCAAUUUGUGCCAUUUCGGGUCGGAUUUGUGCCAUUUGGGGUCGGAUUUGUGCCAUUUCGGGUCGGAUUUUUGCCAUUUUGGGUCGUAUUUGAGCCAUUUUGGCGCCAUACCUGCUGCACAGGGGUGUAGGUGACGGUGUGGGUGCCGUCGUGGUUGUCCUUCACCUCCAGGUCCCGCACGGCUUCGCCCUUUCCUGGCCCCGUCACCUCCACGUCCAGCGCCGCGCGGCCGGCAGCCUUGGUGAGCACCGUGAACUGCGUGGGCUUCCCCACCUCCAGCCCUGCGGACACGGCACGCCUCGCCAGCGGCCCCAGAAACGUCCCCAAACGCCCCAAAAACGUCCCAAAACGCCCCCAAAAUGACCCAGAACGCCCCCAAAAUGACCCAAAACGCCCCAAAAUGACCCAAAACGCCCCAAAAAUAACCCAAAA